rnacentral:rRNA from 1 species
CAGGCCUACGGGGCGCAGCAGUAGGGAAUUUUCGUCAAUGGGCGCAAGCCUGAACGAGCAAUGCCGCGUGAACGAGGAAGGUCUUCGGAUCGUAAAGUUCUGUUGAAGGGGAAAAAGAGCGGAGAGAGGAAAUGAACUCCGAUUGAUAUUACCCUUCGAGGAAUGCACGGCUAACUACGUGCCAGCAGCCGCGGUAAUACGUAGGUGGCGAGCGUUAUCCGGACUGAUUGGCCGUAAAGGUGGGAUAUGCGGCCUGAUAAGUCUGG